GGCGUAAACAUAAAUACGCUGCAACGUAUCAGCGGGCCCGCCAUAUUGGAUGUGGCAAAUAUACUACGUAAACUAACCGAACAUCGGCUCAGGUCUAGUACGAGCACUGCACGAUUACCUUGAAGCUGUAGAGGCAGAUGACACAGUUUCCAUGAGGUAUGUUGCUUUCAGUCAGGAUUUCUUUGGCUUUCUGAGGAACAAAUUAUUGGAAAUAAAACACGACUUCACAUCUUGUUUGAGGUGGAAACGAGUGAAGGCUGUGACCUCGAUCAGCUGAUACAAGACAGGCGAGCCGACGCACGACUCUGCUUCCAUCUGCAGACAUUUGUGUACACUGAAAGAAGAAAAACAAAAACAUGGCGUCAGUUGACGGCGGCGGAAGAAGUACAUCUUUGGAAGGCUCACCUGCGCAGCUUGUUGUCCGACAGACCCCGCGGGUUGUGGAUGGAAAUGUGCGGAGACGAGCACGGAUACUGGGGCACACACAACACAGGAAGUUAACGUGCAACAUCCAGACUGCCGGAACUCAGGUGCUCCCAGGCGUUACCUGCUGUAAGGUAAUCAAAAAGGUCAACCAACGAACGAGAUUUCUCUACAGAAUCUCCUCUCUGGUCAACAAAAGCACUUUGAAGAUUCUAGCGGGAACUCCCGUUCAACCCUUUUUCGAUUACGCUUGCACCUCCUGGUACCCUAGCACAGUGGUUCUCAACCUUUUUUCAGUGAUGUACCCCCUGUCAACAUUUUUUUAAUUCAAGUACCUCCUAAACAGAGCAAAGAAUUUUUGGUUGAAAAAAAGACAUAAAGAAGUUAAAUACA